rnacentral:lncRNA from 1 species
AUCUUUGCCCUGAGUUAAUGGAGGUUCGUCUUUACUCGCUGCCACAAUCAUAUGGUAUCCACCUUUCCAACUGCUGCUGCUGCUACUAUUGCUGCUAUUGCUUCCUUCAUCAAUGGACACUGCACCAUCUUUAAUCAAACCAGGAAGCCAUUUUGCUGCAUACUGCAUUAUUGAAGCUCCAAUCAAUUCAAACCUCAUACCCUUUACCUUGAUUGCUGUAAUGACCCGAACAAAGUGAUCAAUCCUUAGGAUUGAAACAUCUUCAAACCACCAAUCAGGAGGAACUGUCUGAUUUCUACUAGGACUUGAAUCCUUCAUAUCAUUCCAUCUUGGACUAGAAACUUUAGGGGGUUUUCCAGUAUAUGCCCACCUUAUCCCUUUCGGAUUGGCACAAGCUUUCCAAGCAAUGGAUUCGCUGCAUCUUCGAACAAUCUGCAGGUUCUCUGCCCAUGGUGUGAGCUUCUCACAGCUUUUAAGUACUAAUAUAGAAUCCCUCCAUGAUGAUAACACCACAUAGCUAAGAAAAGCUUCAGUUUUGAAUAUAAGAUUACCUUCUUCUAAAUCUUCUGUCAUUUCCAGGUACUCAGCAGCACAUCUAAGUCCAGAGAUAUUGCCUGCUGUUAGAUCAACAGCAAUUCCAUAGCAGAACUUUGCUGCAAGCUCAAAUGCCUCAGGUCCACCAGGAAGAUCAUUUAAUUCUAUCUUAUUCAAUCCUGGGUCGCGUGAUUCAUAAAUUACUCUAUUGAUCUUUCCACUCCGAGAAAGCAAAGGAUACUUUUGCAAGAACAUAAACAGUGAAAACAGGUAAGUCAGUAUAAUUCAAGAACUAUUCUUUCUGUUAUUGAAUUUUGAAUUUGGACUUGAGAGAAGUGAAUUCAAGCAUUCAAAGGAGAAAAAUGGAUACCUUAUGCAAGUGGAAAUUUGCAUCUCCUAUCUGAACUAAAAGAUCACUAGGAAUAUCAGUUGCCACAUACCUGAAAAAGAAGGAUUAGAAGAUAAACUAUUAGCAGAAAGAAAACCCAAAUACAAUUUUUUUUUCCAAAAAAAAAAAAAAAAAAACCCAAAAGGUUGAAAAAGCAUAAGAACUUCUUGAGAGCAGAUAUAGCACACACACCAUGACUGGCCUCUGAGCUCAAACCCAUCGGUCUUGACAGCAUGCUUGGUUGAGCUAAGAAUUCCAUUACCGUAAUCUCGUCCACCAAAGGAUUCACUCUCCGAAUCCCACAUGAUAAUAACUAAAAUCAAACAGAAGGGGUGCAGAACUUUGUCAGAAAAAGUGCCUGGAAAUUGGAGUUAGAGCAGAGAAAAUGAGUAGGAGAAGAGGGGGCAAAAGAAUCAACACAAAGUUGGGCUAAAAAAAGGGAAAGAAUCCCACAUGGGUUGCUUGGAAUUAUCUGAAACUGUCGGCUUCUUGUGGAUUUUUAAGGACUCUUCACAUUACAGGCUGUGAAGUAAUGGGCUAAAAAAUGGAUGAUUUUUGAGUUUGUAUGAAUUUCAAUUCUUCUAUCUUUGGCUGUCUGCAGAAAUGACUGAGAUAUUCAGAGCUACUACUCUUUCAUCAUGUCUUCCUUUUUGCUUUUUCUUUUCUUUCCUUUUUCUUUCUUUUUCUUAAUUACAAUCCAAAAGAAAUAUUCCUAUGUGGACGAGAGAGAGAGAAUGAGAAGUGAAUUCAAUGUAGCAGAGGAGUUGUUUCUGAAUUCUGAUAAAUUUCACAAAGACUGGAAUUACGAAAAUGCCACUGAUUGUUGGAGGGGAUGGACCAUUUGAUUAAAGCUUUUCCCAUGAAAAUACCUUAGCUAUGUUUCUGCCUCUCAUUUGUGUUUUAUCCCUUUCAGGUUGGUAUGCUAGGAAAAGAAAAAGAUUAAUUAAUAUAAGGAAAAUAUUAAUUUUUCAUAUAAUUAAUAUUUAAAUUUAUAUAUUUUGAAAAAAAAAAAAACAAGGUUUCUACAUUGUCUUCCUAUUUUUUAAAAAAAAAAAUUAUUUCAUUUAUUUUAAACAAAGUAUAAUAAUAAAGUAAAUAUUGACAUUUUUUUUUCAUCAAUAACAUUAAUUAUUUAUAGAGAAAAUAUUAAAAAUAGAAUAAAGAUUUUAUCCAAGUUGGCAGUCAUUGUUCAACUCUUCAUUGUUUAAGGUUUUUGUAUGAAUUCAAAUAGAUGGUAAAUGUAUUUGAGUAAAUCUGAAAGGUCUCAAUUUCAACUCCACCCCAAUUUCCAAUCUCCAUUAAAAAAAAAAGAUUUUUCUUCGCAAGGUAUAAAAGUAGAUGGAAUUUUUAGUUCGAAUUUUUUCAACUACUGAUAUAUUCAUUCUUUGUAAGAAGAGAUUAAUUUUUGGGUAAUCUAAAUUCAUCUCUCAAGCACUCUACAUAUAACUUAGAAAACUCUUCCAAACUAUUAGGAUUUCGUUUUAAUGAGUUGAUCAUUGGAGUAGACACAGACCAUAUAAUCUAACAUCAUUAUACAGGUUAUAGUAUAAUUAAGGACGUAAAGAAAUCAAAUUAUUUGUGAACUAUUCGAUAUUUGACUCGAUAAAAUAUUGAUCGGACUCGACUUAAUUUUUAAACGAGUUAAAUUCGAAUUUAAUUUGUAAACUCAUUUAAUAAAUGAGCUAAACUUGAACUCUAUAGUAUUCAAUUUGUGAGCUUGACUCGAUUCUGAGUUCAUGAGUAAAUUCGCGAAUAAAUUCGUAAACGGUCUCGUUAAGCAGACUAAUAUUAAUAUUAUAAGAAAACAAACUAUGUAUAUUCUUUCAUAAAUCAAAUUUAAAUUUUUUAAAAUUCACCUCUAUAUAGUUUAAUUACACUUUUAAAGAGUUUGUUAUUUAUAAGUUUAUAAAUUAAUUUUUAUAUAUAUUUAUUUAAUUAAAAUUAUUUAAUUUUAAACUAAAAUUUAUUAUACAGGUAAAUAAAUUAAACUAAAUUUAUUCAUAAAUUAUUCGAUAUUAAAUUCGAUAAGCCAAAUUUAAAUUUAUUAAUACUCUGUUGGAAUUGGAAAUGAAAUAAAAAAAUUUUUAAUAAAUCAAAAUUGAAAACUCAUGAAUUUUAGAUAUUUUGUACAUAAGAUAGUGUAAUUUUAAAAUUAAUUAAUAUCAAUGAAGAAAAAUAAAGAAAUUGAUUAAAAAUGGAUAAUGACUAACAAAAAUCUUCAUAAAUAUGGAUAAGAUGAAUAUCAUAUCUUUAUUCACUAAAUGGUAUAAACAUGUUUGACCAUUUGAUUUUGUCUAUUUGUAGGGCCAAACACAUUAUUGCAACAAUUACUACAACAAUUUGACAACCUUAAUUUCACUACUUUUUUUUAGUGGUAAAUUGGACAGUCUCAUUUGUCAAUUUAUGGAUUCCAUAAAAUUUACUACCAACUUCCCUUAUUCUAAUGAUAUAUUGGACUUUGUGGCAUAACAUAAAUAAUAUUGUUUGGAAAACUCAGGGUCGAACUGUGAGUAGUGUGUUCUUCACGACACUGAAUUUUUUACAGCAAUGAAGGGGGGCCUGUUCUGAUUCU